rnacentral:rRNA from 1 species
UACGUAGGUGGCAAGCGUUGUUCGGAUUCAUUGGGCGUAAAGGGUGCGUAGGCGGCGCGGUAAGUCGGGUGUGAAAUCUCGGGGCUUAACUCCGAAACUGCAUUCGAUACUGCCGUGCUUGAGGACUGGAGAGGAGACUGGAAUUUACGGUGUAGCGGUGAAAUGCGUAGAUAUCGUAAGGAAGACCAGUGGCGAAGGCGGGUCUCUGGACAGUUCCUGACGCUGAGGCACGAAGGUCAGGGGAGCAAACGGG